UUCAUAGAUACAAGCCUGAAC
rnacentral:piRNA from 1 species